UACGUAGGGUGCAAGCGUUGUCCGGAAUUAUUGGGCGUAAAGAGCUCGUAGGCGGUCUGUCGCGUCGGCUGUGAAAUCCCGAGGCUCAACCUCGGGUCUGCAGUCGAUACGGGCAGACUGGAGUUCGGCAGGGGAGACUGGAAUUCCUGGUGUAGCGGUGAAAUGCGCAGAUAUCAGGAGGAACACCGGUGGCGAAGGCGGGUCUCUGGGCCGAUACUGACGCUGAGACGCGAAAGCGUGGGGAGCGAACAGG
rnacentral:rRNA from 1 species